GACGAACGCUGGCGGCGUGCCUAAUACAUGCAAGUAGAACGCACAGUUUAUACCGUAGCUUGCUACACCAUAGACUGUGAGUUGCGAACGGGUGAGUAACGCGUAGGUAACCUGCCUGGUAGCGGGGGAUAACUAUUGGAAACGAUAGCUAAUACCGCAUAAUAUUAAUUAUUGCAUGAUAAUUAAUUGAAAGGUGCAAUUGCACCACUACCAGAUGGACCUGCGUUGUAUUAGCUAGUAGGUGAGGUAACGGCUCACCUAGGCGACGAUACAUAGCCGACCUGAGAGGGUGAUCGGCCACACUGGGACUGAGACACGGCCCAGACUCCUACGGGAGGCAGCAGUAGGGAAUCUUCGGCAAUGGACGAAAGUCUGACCGAGCAACGCCGCGUGAGUGAAGAAGGUUUUCGGAUCGUAAAGCUCUGUUGUAAGAGAAGAACGGGUGUGAGAGUGAAAAGUUCACACUGUGACGGUAUCUUACCAGAAAGGGACGGCUAACUACGUG
rnacentral:rRNA from 1 species